rnacentral:tRNA from 1 species
GCCUAGUUAGCUUGGAAAGUAACGCGUCUGUAAUUAAACGCUAGGUGGCGGGUUCGAUUCCCGCACGGGGCG